rnacentral:rRNA from 1 species
GAUGAACGCUGGCUACAGGCUUAACACAUGCAAGUCGAGGGGAAACGACGGGGAAGCUUGCUUCCCCGGGCGUCGACCGGCGCACGGGUGAGUAACGCGUAUCCAACCUGCCUCUGACUGAGGGAUAACCCGUCGAAAGUCGGCCUAAUACCUCAUGGCAUCGUCUGCGGGCAUCCAACGACGAUUAAAGAUUUCAUCGGUCAGGGAUGGGGAUGCGUCUGAUUAGCUAGUUGGCGGGGUAACGGCCACCAAGGCGACGAUCAGUAGGGGUUCUGAGAGGAAGGUCCCCCACAUUGGAACUGAGACACGGUCCAAACUCCUACGGGAGGCAGCAGUGAGGAAUAUUGGUCAAUGGGCGAGAGCCUGAACCAGCCAAGUAGCGUGCAGGAUGACGGCCCUAUGGGUUGUAAACUGCUUUUAGGCGGGGAUAAAGUGAGGGACGUGUCCUUCAUUGCAGGUACCGCAUGAAUAAGGACCGGCUAAUUCCGUG